rnacentral:lncRNA from 1 species
UUGGCGUUUUCCUGGGGUGCAACAGGUUAAGGAUCUGACAUUGUCACUGCAAUGGCUGGGUCUGCUGAUAGAGCAGGGUUUCAAUCCCUGGCCCGGGAUUUCCAUAAAUAAAGAAAUAAAAAUGAUUUAUUGGAAGCAUUUAUCAUCCCAUUCCUGGCUGGUUAGGGAAUGUAGUCUAGUGAAUUAAGCUUCAAAUUGUGGAAAAGUUUGUUAAUAGAGGAAACAUUGGCAAAUUGAAAUAGUUUAUUAACUUUAAUAGUUACAACCUUUUACAAUCUAGUCCAGAGAAAAAAUACAUCUGGAAAAAAAAAAAAGUCAUGAAGAAUGCAACAUGGUCACAUGUUGGGUUUGGUGCCACCAUCUGCUGAUAUAUGAUUUCAUUGAAGGGGUUGAAAACUAAACAAUCACUUCAUGUUUGUGGAAUAUUUUAUCAUUAUUUAUAGCUGCCAAAAUGUAUGUAAAUUUCAAAUAAAGGGCAAGGAAGCUGGAAAAGAAUUAAGGACAGCUGGGAUCAGUCAUCAAUAAAGUGUUUCUUUAUUGAUUUCAUUGAAACUCAAGGUUACCUUUAGUGUUUUCAUGUCUUUUUGUUUUGUUCUGUUUUCAUUUUCUACUUCCCUCUUUUUGUCUUUUCCAGCAGUGAAAGCCAGCAGACCCGUGCGGUUUUGAAGUAAUGUAAAGUGUUCAGGCAAAAAAUUCUCAGAUUCCCAGGGGGAAAAAGCAGUGCAAAUAAAUGAGGAUCACACAAUCAUCGCCACCAGCUCAGGGCCUCUCUGGGUUGAUUCAUGAGCUUUCAAAAGGCUCACUCUAUCUGAAUGAUGAAACAAAGGCAAUCGCUUGCAGAGAAGAUAGCCGAAACUAUUUGUGGAUGCUGAGAAGAAAGAUAGGUUGGAUUUAGUGAUGCAUCUCCUUGGACUCAUGCGGCAUGGAGAAGCUUGAACUGAGAUUCUUGGAAAAGGCAGAGAGGUCAAGAGGAAGAAAGGAAAUCCAGGAAGAAGAGACUCCAAGGUUUCAAUUGGAGACAAAUUCCAUCUACACAUUCUACAAAGAGCCCCUAUAAGAACUGUUAAGACCCUGAGAUGCUCGUGUGUCCGUGAUCUGGCCUCAAAUAAGAAGAAGUUCUUUCUGGUUCUGGACCAGCACACCCACCCUGAUGCUGAGGAGCAUAAGAGCAAGUUUAGAGGUCAGUGAUGGAGUAUUCAUUUUAGGAAAGAUAAUGGAGACAAUAUCAAAACUGCAAAUGGAGUACUGUAUCAGAGUUUAAGUAGCAACUUGAUACAACACAACAGAUGGAGCUAAAACUGAUGUAUGCAACCUAAAAACUGGCAUUUCUCCAAAUAUAAUCUUUAAUUAAUUAACACAGGAGAAAAGUUUCAUUUUAUUGUCUGACAUAUCAAAACAAUUCAAUAAAGUAAAAACAAGAUGCCA